GAUAAGGUACUUAUGCCUCUUGAUCUUGUUCUUCCGGCUAAGGCUCCAGCUCUGGCUCCUGCACCAGCUAAGGGUUUGUUGCCUAAGGCUGGAAAAACGAAUUCUUCAGUUGCAGAUGAUGGUAGUGGUGCUGGUAGUGAUGAUGGUGAUGGCAAGGAUUUACCUGCUGAUAUUUCUGCUGCAGGGUCUGUGAUGUGGGUGAAUGCUGUUGUUGUUUUUGGAAUGGGUUUGGUUGGUGGAGUUGUUCUAUAAGGUGGAUGGAUGAGCAAUAUUGAUGGAGCGAUUCAAUGAUUUUUUUAGUUGUUGUUUUGAGGUUUUAUUGUGUUCUGUUUUGUUUGAGUGAUUCUGUUUUCAUUUGAGUUUUUGCUAUUUGUUUGUAGAAUAGGGUGAAAGUUGAAAAAACAUGUUUCUGCUAUUUAUUCUUCCUAUUUGUUCAUUUUGUUUUGGUAACUUGUAAUUUGUAUUUCUUUUAUGGAUUAUUGGAAUCUAAUUAAUACUUUUUUUUUUUUACAAAAGAAUCUAAUUUAUACAUGAGGGGUUUAGGUUCUGUAUUUAGUUUUUUUAACACACGAAUAAUAAUCGAGCGUUCCUUUAAAAAAAAUUAAAAAUGAUCAAGCAUUGGUAUGCUAGUGUUAAUGAUUUUCAAGGUACCUUCUCCGUGAUCUCCUUUUAUCUUUAUCUUAGCAACAAGGUAUUCCCUCUGUCUUCCUUUCAUGAGUCACAAAAUUCGGAUAUAGCAAAGGUAUGGGGAAGUUAUGCUCCAUCAAAAAUGUUAACCUUUUCUUAGCAAUUGGUUAUGCACCAUCUUCCUACAAGAAAAAAUCUCUUCCAAGAGGUGAGUGUUAGGUGAUGUAGGGGAGGCGGGUUGCCAUAGGGUGAUGAGGACAUGGAAACCGAGGAUCGCUUGUUUACCACUUGUGAUUUCGCUAGUAAAAUUUGGCAUGAGAAUUUCAAAUGGCUUGGUGAGGUAAUAGUGUUAUGGAACAUUGCUGCAUUGCUAGAGAUUUUUGCUUCUUUGAUCCGGUAAGGAAAAGAUGAGAAGGUGAUGAUAUUAGUUUGGCAUACAACUACUUGGGAAAUUUGGAAGGCAGAGAACGAUAGAAAAUCUUCAACGAAAAAUAAAAUCUACAAAAGUGGCAGAGGAGAUUGACUCUAUAAAAGGUUUAUCUUAGCGUUGGUUUUUGGGUAAAAAUUCGGGAGAGUCAUAUGUUUCCAAUAGAUUAUAUGCUUAGGCAAUAGAGUUAGAACUAAUUUUUGGUUGAGGGUGAAGUACUGCUUGUACUUAUUCCCAUGGAAAUUUAAUACCACUUGUACUUGGUUACUCUUUUUAUCAAUAAAUUUUGUUUUCUGUUCAAGAAAAAGAAUUUGAGUUUAUGAAUAAAUUAAAUUGGACAACAGAACUAUUAUAAACGAAGUUUGAGUGGCGCUAAGAGAAGUAGGAUUGUGGAGGAAACGGAACUGUAACGGUUUGGAGGAAAUUCUGAGGAUGGAAUCUGACAUUGGAGCCUCACGGAAAUGUGGACAAGACAACAAUGUUUAAGCUCUAGUCUAGAAGAUAAAUCAUUUAGCUUAAUUACAGGGAGCAGCCGAAUGAAGGGUGCAAUGACCAACGGCGAUUGAGACCUCUGACUUGCAAGAUUUAUGAGCCACUACCGUGUGAAGGAAAUAGAGACCUGAAAUAAGGAACUCACAGUGAAGAAGAAUGGAGGGUUUCUUUCAUUUUGGUCCAUGUACCAUGUCAUUUGGUCCUUCUCAUUCUAGUCUCAGUUUUUGUACCGAUUUAAUGUCCCUAUUUAACGCUGGGGAUUAAAAUGAUUAAUAUAAUAAAGAGUUGAGGAUUUGAUUAGAUUAUCAUCUUAUUAAGAUAUCAAUUUGACAAUGAGUUACACUUUCCGAGACUAAAAUGUUGGUUUGCACAUUAUAAUCUUUUUUUACGCUGAAAUUAUGAGUGCUAAUUUUACUAUUGAAACAGGUUUUCAAAAUGGUUGACAUAAUUUAUGGCUUGAAUGCGAUUAUACAUUGAUGGUUGAUGCUUUAAAAAACAGUAGUCUGAUUCCAUGGAAGUUUUUGAAUAGAUGGCAGAACUGUAACAAUUUUACUAGCCAGAUGCGAUUCUUGUUUACUCACAUCUUCAAAGAGGGCAACAUGUUUGCCGACAAGUUAUCUAAUUAUGAUAUUUCUAUCGAGUUUUGUUGAUGUCAUUUGAUUUCUUCUUUUAUUUUAGAUGAAUUUUUUAGAAAUAAGAUUUUUCUUCCUAAUUAAACGCAUCUUCUAAUAUUGAUUUUGUUAUUUCUACUUCAAUAUCCUUGUAUCUUGAUGAGCUAGCAUACGUACUUUUAGCCUUAAAAAAGGUGGGUUCUAACACUUCAUGCAGUUGGAUUACAUGCUUGUACAUAUUAAUACACCUUAUAGGCUCUAACACUACCUAUCAUACACAAAUCUUACCUCCCUCACCAUUUAUCAGUUACAAUACUAUGAUACACCACCUUUCCAUGACAGACAAAGAAGAUUUGUUCUAUCAGAAACUGCACCUUUCUGACAAAACAUUGCACCUAAUUAACCAAUCAAUAAUUUCCAUCCCCCUAAACUAUAAAAGCCAACCCUUUCUCCCCUCUUCCUCCACAGCAACAUCAAGCAAUAAUAAGCAUUAGUAUACUCUAUCACCAUUUCCAAACAAAACCAAAAACAUGAAAAAUAUGAUGCAACAAUCUCUCAUUUCCACCUCAUUCUUUCUUCUAGCAAUUGCUUUCUACACUCCUACCACUUUAGCCCAACUCUCACCAAUUCAAACCCCAUCAACAUCAUCACCCUCACCACCCUUACCAUCAACAACAGCAUCACCACCAUUACCAGCAACAACAGCAACAGCACCAUCACCAGGAUUAAGUACAGUUCCGCUUGUUCCAACAACACCAACUGGUGCACCAUCACCCACCAUAACAGUCCCAAAAGGACCCACCAUUGACAUAAUCAACAUUCUUCAAAAAGCCAAAAGGUUCUCCGUUCUAAUCCGUCUUCUCAAAACAACACAAUUAAUCAAUCAACUCAACUCGCAGCUGGUAUCAUCGCCAUCAGGUUCCGGAGGGUUAACCAUUUUUGCACCAGAAGAUUCUGCAUUCUCCAAACUCAAAGCAGGGUUCCUCAACUCCCUCACUGAUAGACAAAAAGUCGAACUCUUACAGUUUCACUCCCUUGCUUCAUUCGUUUCUAUUUCAAACUUCGAUACCUUAACCAACCCUGUUCAAACACAAGCCGGUGAUGAUGCUAGGCUUCAACUGAACGUCACUACUUAUGGUGGCAGUCAAGUUAGUAUGGCUACCGGAGCAGUCAAUGCUACCGUUACCGGUACUGUUUAUACCGACAGCAAACUUGCUAUUUAUCAGGUUGAUAAGGUACUUAUGCCUCUUGAUCUUGUUCUUCCGGCUAAGGCUCCAGCUCUGGCUCCUGCACCAGCUAAGGGUUUGUUGCCUAAGGCUGGAAAAACGAAUUCUUCAGUUGCAGAUGAUGGUAGUGGUGCUGGUAGUGAUGAUGGUGAUGGUAAGGAUUUACCUGCUGAUGUUUCUGCUGCAGGGUCUGUGAUGUGGGUGAAUGCUGUUGUUGUUUUUGGAAUGGGUUUGGUUGGUGGAGCUGUUCUAUAAGGUUUAUUUGAUGGAAGGAUUCAGUGAUUUUUUGUUGUUCUGUGUGAUUGAUUCUGUAUU
rnacentral:lncRNA from 1 species